rnacentral:tRNA from 1 species
UUGGAGGUAAACUAAUUAAGUUGCGAGAUUCAUAAUCUUGAAAUGGGGCUUUAACCCCCCUUCGUUCC